CCUAUUUAAAUUGGGGUGUGCCGUUUUUGUACAUUCGCUAUCACCUGGCAUAGCACCUGGUAUAUGAAUAAAAUAAAGAUAUUUGAACAAAAAACUGUUACGUGAUCAACUGUAGUAUUUCGGCUUGGUUGUGAAUUAUCUACCUAGGUAUAUAAGUUAACUUUUGCAAAAACACCCUUGAUUUUGUUGUUAUUUGUGCGCUUGAGUUUGAUACACAUUUUAUUAUUAACGCAUUGGUACUAACCUUCUAUUUAAUACCUAAAUAACGAUAAAAUAUCUAGGUUUGUGUCUAAUUUUUAGGGUGAUUUGGUAAUGGGUCCUUUUUAUUGCUUAACGUCUAUUAUGUACCUACCUACAAACAAUGUAUUUAAACCAUUAUGUUCCAAUUAACAGAUUCCACUAAUACUGCAUCCCAAUCCAGUACAACCCAGUGGAAGAAUGACCAGAAAUGCAAAAAUAUUUCAAGAAACUAUGGGAUAUCUUCUCGUCGUAGUCAACAUGAGACACAUUCUCUUGAAGGUUCUACCGAAAAGCAAAGAGGGGGUGAUCGGAAAGGAGCAAAAUGUUCAAGAAAACACUUAAUGACUAACUGUAAUAACUGAAAAUGAAGGUUUUUCUAAUAAAGGCAAGUGCCAUACCGUAUUAAUAUAUUUUGUGAUUAUGCAUGUAUUAAUUAAUAAACGUUUUAAAAUUAAAA